GGUUGGUCCGAGUAUAGUCGUGUUUACAACUAAUUAAUCACAACCAGUUACAGAUUCCUUUGUUCCUUCUCCAAUCCCACUGCUUCACCUGACCAGUUUUAA
rnacentral:Y_RNA from 1 species